AACUCAACACCCACUUCUUUCACUGCAGUCAGACGUUCUAUGGUCAGCCUUUUCAGUAAGUGCAGUCGUCCAAGCGGUGGCAAUAAUGUGAUUUGAGGACAAGUGCUCAGCUCCACCUGCACCAUGCUAGUGAAUGAGGCAUCUCCUAGCCACAAUGGGAAUUGCCUUCCCCCAAAUGAUCUAAUUGAAAGGCUUGAUAGACUUUGAUGUGGCCGAAGUGAGUUGAGAACUUGCUCUUCAUCACUCGAGUUUCUGAAAACAGAGGAAAAUUCAUUAGUCCAUUGCAAGACUAAUUCAGUGACACCAAGUUUAUGCUUCAAAUUGGCAGAAUCUGCAUCUCCAAUAUCUACCACAUUCUCUAAACUUGUAAUGUGAAGCUGCCCUUGUAGAUUAGAAAGUUUCUUCAAUUCUGUUAUCCUUCUGUUGCAUUUCCCCACGAUAAACUUAGGCAACAUACAGAGACCAGUCAAAUUACCGAUAUGUGGUGG
rnacentral:misc_RNA from 1 species